GGGCGUGUAGCUCAGAUGGUUAGAGCGCGUCACUGAUAAUGACGAGGUCGGUGGUUCGAUUCCACCCACGCCCACCA
rnacentral:tRNA from 1 species